AAUAUAUACUGUGCAAUAUAUGUGUAAAUGCUUUUUUGCCUUCUAGAAUUGGGUUGUAAGUAAAUUUGGAAGAAUCUUACCUAUUCUUCACCUUAAGAGUCAACAUAAACAUAAAAUUAUGAAAUAUGAUCCAUCAAAAUACUGCCACAACCUAAAGAAGAUAGAGGAGAAUUUCACAGAUAUCGUUCCCAUAACUAGCCUCACUUGGGAAUUGGAAGGCAGCAAUGACCCUAUGAGUAAGAAACGUCAAGGAGAGUUCUCUGACUUUCAUGGCCCUCCCAAGAAGAUCAUAAAAGUACAGAAGGAUGAGGGUUCCAUGGAAUCCAAAGUUUCUGAUAAGAAUUCAAAGACUAAUCAAAUGCUAGAGAAUAACAUAUCAACACAGCAUGGUUCCAUUACUCCUUUUAAACCACUCCUUGCGUCCAAUUCUGAUACAAGACCUCUUCAUACUUCUGAUUUUGACAUUAUUUGGAAGAGAAGUAGCAUGUCUAAUCAUGAUGACCUUGACUCUGAAGGCGAAUUAAAAAUGAUGAUUGCAGAAGAGGAAAACUUACAAAAAACUAGAUGUUCCUCAGUAAAUGAAUCUGAAAGUGAUCCCUUUGAAGUUGUGAGGGAUGAUUUCAAAUCAGAUAUUCACAGACUACAUUCACCAGCCAGUUUAGGAAUCAGUAAUGUCUCCUGUCAUGUUAGCAAUGGUAACAUAGGAAAUGACUGUAAAUAUGAUUCAAGUGAUACAGAUGAAAUUAUUGCAAUGAAAAAAAGCAUUGAUAAGACCAAAAAAAGUACAGAAUGUUCACAAACAGAAAAACCUAUAAACAACAAACGUUCUUUCAGAAAGAAAGAUUUUUCAACUGAUUGUAUUAAAUUACAAAAAGCUAAAAACAGUGAAGAAUUGACCCUAAGUCAUGGAGUAAAGUCUCUCAAUCAUAAAUCUCCAUCUGACUCCAGCAGUAGUGACAGUGAAAAGUCCGAAGGUGAAGAAGAGUAUAAAGCCUUGAUGAAAAACUGUCCCCGUUUGAGCCUCACUUUGGCUGAUUUGGAGAAGUUGGCUAGCAAUCACCAGGAGAUUCCAGGAAAAGAUGAGAGUGAUGGCCUUCAGACUCCUAAACACUACAAGUCCGACAGAGUCUCCAAGAGUCCCAAGACUCCCCAUGGCCUCCACAGUAGCCGACAGUGCAUCCAUCCUGAAGAGAUUGUGGCCUCCCUUUUAGAGGAAGAGAACACUUACAGUAAGCAGAAACCAGAGGGAAACAACUUAAAACCAAAAUUCCAGGAGUUCAAGGGAAUAGGCUGUCUCUAUGCAAGGGAAUCGGUGGACAAAACCGUGAAAGAAAAUGAUAUCUUUAAUAAUAUUACUGAACAUCAGAGUUCCUUGAAACCUGAAGAUCCCGAUAGCAUUUCUUUAGAAAACAGAUCCAAGUGUGCUAAUGGCCUAUCAAACAAAUCAACUUUAUUGCAACCUGCAAAGAAAGUGAACAGCCAAGGCCACAUUCAGCCUCAAAAAAUAAAGUUUACUUUUGAGAGCCAGAACCAUAUGAUAAUGUCCUCUACCAGUUCUGAAAAGGGAAGUAAAAAUCCUAUCUCGUGUCUAUUGCCAUUAAAAGGUAAAAAGUCUUUAAGUCUUAGUGUAAAGAGCCAUAAAAUAGACUUUGACAAAGAUGCUUGCCAUAGUCUUGAAAAUAGAGGCACUUCAAAAAAAGAGAGGUCUGAUUCAAGCAGCCUUACAUCUCUUGAGAUACCACCAGAGGUCUCUUCCAGGAAAGCACCUCAGAAAAGCACAACUAGUAUCUUACUUUCUUUGAGUGAUGUGUCAGACAUGAAUGCUAAGGAUAAGCAUGCCAAAGACAAUCAGAAGCGAUUGGCAGCCUUGGCAGCAAGGCAGAAAGCCAGAGAGGUACAGAAGAAGCUGGUGCAUAAUGCACUGGCAAAUUUGGAUGGUCGUCCAGAGGAUAAAACAACACACAUCAUCUUUGCUUCUGAUAGUGAAAAUGAAAUGGAAAAGACAUCAAUACAAGAGCAAAGCUUUCCAAGAGAGGAACUGGUAGAAGUAAGAUCUUCCAGACAUUUCCUGUGGAUAUUAGUGUACUUUGUUAGUCCCCUCUCCUC
rnacentral:lncRNA from 1 species